rnacentral:lncRNA from 1 species
CGUUGUCAAAAUGCAGUUUUAUUUUCUUCUGUUGUUCUUGUUCAUUCUUGUAUUGUAUUCGUUACAUUUUUCGAUAAAAAAAUUCUUUUGAAACACUGAAAACGCCUUUAGUGACUGACAAUAAUUUCCGUUCGGUCUUGUAGUCGAACAUCCUUCGGUCUUUCAUAGGUUUUAACCCGCUACCGAUUACUUCAUUAAAUAUUUAUCAUUAUUAUUAAUUUGUUACGAAUGGAACAUGAACAAGGCGAACUGUAAAAAUGAACGACUUUAUCAAGUAUAUAGAUAUAAGAAAGCCAUCAAUAACGGAUCAACAUAUGCUUGAUCUUUUGUUUAAUAGAUUAAUUAAUUACCGUUAAGUCUUUUUUUUCAGCUUCAUUUCUGUGUUACCAGUGUUCCUAUGAAAAGCUGUACAAUGUGAACGAGGUCUGGAAUAAGAAAGCAUGUAUGGAUAAUCCGGAUUCCAUUGGUGAUAGCGGACGUGUGAACUGCAGUUCCUCGAGUUACUGCACAUAUCAAGAAAUGUAUGAUAAAGGUAGAAAGGUUGUUACGAGCUACUUCCGGUCAUGUUCAGCUGUGUCACAGGGAAACGCGUGCGUUGAGGACUGGACUCACGUGACAUGCUCGGGAACAUGCAGAGGAAACUUUUGUAACAGAAAUGAAACAGGAACGCUCCACCAAAUACAUUUCGGAUAGAACAGAUGUGAAAUCAGCCUAUAAACGCUUAGUAAAAAUCUUACAUUAAACAACUUAAAAGAUA